rnacentral:lncRNA from 1 species
UAGAAAUGAGGAUGACAUAACUUAGAUUGGUGUAAAAAAUAUCAUGCAAAAAUUUAUUUUGUGCAUGAGAAGAGAAGUGGUCGGCGGCUUGGAGGAGUCUCAUAAAACUUGGACUCUUGGUUUAAGUUUGAUUUCAAACCAAUUUGAACUCAAACUCAAUCCAAAAAAAUUUCAAUCUAAAGAGGAUUAGAAGAAGGCAUCACACACUUUUUGGGCAUAAAAAAUUCCACUUGAAAAUUAUUUUCAUGCAUGA